AUGAUGCUAAUGAUAUGCAAAUCCACAAGCUUGGGGAUGGUAUGUUUGAUGAAUAUGAUAUUUUUUCGUCCCGCAAGUUUUGAUGAGAAUAUUUAUUAUGAUGAAAGCAUGCCUCCUAUUUAUGAUGAUUAUUGUGAUGACUUGUAUGCUAUUAAUAAUAAUAAUAACCAUGAAACUUGUCAUCAUGAUUUUAGUUUUCAAUUGGAUUAUGCCUCACAUGAUAAUUAUUUUGUUGAGUUUGCUCCCACUACCAUUCUGAAUGAGAAGAAUUUUGCUUAUGUGGAGAGUAAUAAAAAUUUUAUGCUUGUAGAUCAUGAAAAAAAUGCUUUAUGUGCUGUUUAUACGGUUGAAUUCAUUCAUGAUGCUACUGAAAAUUAUUAUGAGGGAGGAACAUAUGCUUGUAGGAAUUGCAAUAAUAUCAAGUUUCCUCCCUAUGUGUUGAAAAUUUUGAAGUUAUGCUUGUUGUACCUUCCUAUGCUAGUUGAUUAUUGUUCCCAUAAGUUGUUUGCUCAAAAAAUCCUUAUUCAUAGGAAGUGGGUUAUACUUAAAUGGUGCUAG
rnacentral:rRNA from 1 species